AAAAAAAAUUGAGAAGGUAACUACGGACUUCAUUGGUCUAUUGUUAAUACAUAAUGAGACGAUACAGUGAAAGAACUCUCCAAAUGACAAAGCACUAUCUCCAUCUAAGAAUAUCGCUUCUGUUGCAUCAUAGUGAAGUAGUUCCACAGGUGUUUCUGCUCGGACUGACUGGUUCAAAUCUCGGCUGUACUGCCAGGAUUUAAGACACUUUGAAAAUGGGCAAAGCCUCAUUUUUCCUAGGUCAAAAGGAGUUCAAGAUUGGGGAAAUCUGAGGAUUCAGAAGGAUGAUAAAUGUUAGAACAUGGAAUCAGGGUGCUUAGAUUCUUGGUGCCUCAAUUUCUCUGUCAGUUAAAUGCCGUAUGAUCAAAUGACUCUUUUCUCAUUGGCUUGAUGUGAGAAAGAAAUGACUACAUAUAAUAAUCAGCAACAUUCCUGGCACAUAGUAAACAUCGAUGUAUUAUUAUUAAUACCUCCACCUACGCUAUAUACUGACUCUCUAUCCUCCCUCUCUUCCUCCUUCCCUGGAUCUUAAAAGAUGAGUGUGAUUAGAAACAAAAUUUUGUUGUGAUAAAGUCCACCUGAAUGUUCCCUCAGAUACUAACUAAAUCUCUUUCACAUGCAACCUUUGGACAAAAGUCUCUUCCUUUUUGCUAGGAAUUUUCCUAUUUUUCUCAUUUCUUCUCCUCCUGCUUUAGGAAAGAAAAAAAAAGCAUAUGCAAGAAUUAUUUUUUCUUCUCCCCAGAUGUCACCAGCACUAACACCUGUCCUAGUUCCAGCUCUGGUGAACUCCAGCAGACCUGCUCAAGUGGACAGCAUUAGGGACCUUGUCAGUUUUGCAGUGCUUUUUGCCUGAAGCCACCUCAGGUCCCUCAUGCUGCAGCAACACGAUUCAUGACUCUGUUGCAGAAUGUGAAGGAGCAAGUCUCUCAAUUGGCUAAUUGAAUCAAGCUCUGCAAUUUCCUUCUUCCCUGGAGCCUGAUCCUGCAGGACAAGGAUCUAUUUUCAAGUCAAUUACAAUUCCUAAGGGAUAUAAUUACCUACAAAAUCAGCAAAGGAACCCUAUUUCUCUUAUGGUGCAGAGCAAAACCAGUGUGGCUGGAAAGGAGAAAGAAGGAAAGGGGGCUUCAAGCAAGAUCAUGUGCAUUGUCAGACUUCAGAUCAUCCAAGGCCUUGUAAGAUUAGGGGACUUUUUUUUUUUUUUGCAUAAGUCAUAAAGAAAUCACUGUGGGGGAAUCAAACACUAAACAGGUAUGCAAGAUAAUUUCAGAUAAAGUAUAUGAAACAAAAAUGGGAUAGAGCAAGUUUAGAGGAGAUAAUGAUGAGGAAUGUCCUCUCUGAGGAGGUGACAUUUGAACGGAGACCUGAAUGGGACAAAAGGGCUAGUGGAGAAGAGAUCUGAAGAAAGAGCAUUUCAAGCAUUAGAGUAAAUAGGGCAAAAAUCAGGAAGCAGGACUGUGCUGUUUGUUUAAUACACAGAAAGAAAGAAAUGGUUAACUGGAAUUUGGACUCGGGACUUGAGUUCAAAUUCAAAGUUAUUUAUGCUGCCCCCAAAUGCGACUACCUAACUGAGCCUGCUGUUUGCUAAGGAUUAGGGGCUUUCUCUGUUUCACUAGAUGGUAAGUACCUGAGCAUAGGGACCAUGUCUUCCCACUUAUUUCUGCAAACUUAGUAUCUGGGCCCUGUCUAGUACCUGUUAGACUCUCAGUAAAUAUUCAUUGAAUGAAAACAUCUCUACAAUUACAAUACCCUGACUGUAUAUCUACUGUUAAAAUUCUAAGACUAGAAAAAAACAAUUUAAAUGUUGAAAUUCAGUCAGCCAAUUGGUAAUUUAAUAACCCAACUAAAAAAAAAAACCCAGAAGACAAAAUAGUCAAACCAUUUCUAAGAGUAGCUGCAGACUAAAUAACAAGAAAAGAAAAAAAUUAUCUAAAGCAACGCUUCUCAACGUCAGUGCUAUUAGCAUUUGGGGCUGAAUAAUUCUUGGUCAUGGGAGCUGUCCUGAGCAUUAUUUAGUGGCAUCGUUAGUCGCUACUCAAUAGUUACUGGUAGCAUUCCCCUCUUGCGACAACCCAAAAUGUCUGCAGACAUUGCCAGAUGGCCCUAUUGAGAACACUGGUAUGAAAGUAUUAAUGCCAUGCCACUUUCUAAAAUGUUGCAGAAGUUGUUGUGCCACCCAGUGGGUUUUCAGUUGAUUUGUGUGCAAAGUUUUACCAAGAGGUAUGAUAAAUAUGUCC
rnacentral:lncRNA from 1 species